rnacentral:rRNA from 1 species
GUAGGUGGCAAGCGUUGUCCGGAAUUAUUGGGGCGUAAAGCGCGCGCAGGCGGUUCUUUAAGUCUGAUGUGAAAGCCCACGGGCUCAACCGUGGAGGGUCAUUGGAAACUGGAGAACUUGAGUACAGAAGAGGAAAGCGGAAUUCCACGUGUAGCGGUGAAAUGCGUAGAAAUGUGGAGGAACACCAGUGGCGAAGGCGGCUUUCUGGUCUGUAACUGACGCUGAGGCGCGAAAGCGUGGGGAGCAAACAGGAUUAGAUACCCUGGUAGUCCACGCCGUAAACGAUGAGUGCUAAGUGUUAGGGGGUUUCCGCCCCUUAGUGCUGCAGCUAACGCAUUAAGCACUCCGCCUGGGGAGUACGGCCGCAAAGGCUGA